rnacentral:tRNA from 1 species
UAUAUAUGUGUAUUAUUUUUGCACAAAAUUUUUUGAAAAUUUUAGUAAUAUAUAA